rnacentral:misc_RNA from 1 species
GACAAAUCUGGUUGAAGCCUAAGGCGUUCUGGAGAAUGGCUGCAGUAGCAGAGAACCUUGAAUCGUCUCUCCCAGUUCCAAGUGUUCAAGAACUUGUAUCCCAGCAACUUCACACUGUGCCACUUAGGUACAUAAGAGAUGAAAUCAUCUCCUCUUCCUCUCAUGAUGAUCACUCUUCUUCUGUGCCGUUGAUUGAUAUGGCCAAGCUAUUCCACCAUGAUUCCCAAGCUUCAGAGCUUCAGAAGCUUCACUCUGCUUGCAAAGACUGGGGUUUGUUUCAGUUAAUAAACCAUGGAGUUUCAGAUGCAACACUGGGAAACAUUAAGAAGCAAACUCAAGAAUUCUUCGAACUUCCCUUAGAAGAGAAGAAACUCUGGGCACAGAAACCAGGAACUCUUGAAGGCUAUGGCCAAGCAUUUGUAACCUCAGAAGAACAAAAGCUUGAUUGGAAUGACAUGAUCUUCCUCAAAGCUCUUCCCAUUCAAAACAGAAAAUUGGAAUUCUGGCCAGAAAAACCUCAAAAAUUCAGGGAAACCGUACAGAACUAUUCAGAAGAUAUCAGGCAGCUUGCAGUUUCUAUAACAAAAUUCAUGGCCAUGGGGCUUGGGCUUAAUGAUCAGGCUCAGGAAUUCUCUCAGGGUUUUCAAGAAGGAACAUAUGAUGUGAGGUUUAAUUGCUAUCCACCUUGUCCUCAACCUGAUCGAGUUAUAGGAAUGAUCCCACAUGCUGACAUGUCCGGGAUCACUCUCUUGCUUGAUGCCACCGACGUGCCAGGAUUACAGGUUCUAAAAGAUGGUCAAUGGAUCUUUGUUGAACCAAUUGAUGGUGCUAUUGUUGUAAACAUUGGCCAGAUUAUAGAGAUAAUGAGCAAUAGAAUAUAUAAAGCACCAGAUCACAGAGCUGUGGUGAACAAAUUGAAGGAGAGGUUUUCUGUAGUUACGUUUUGUUAUCCCAACCCAUCUGUCAAAAUUGGUCCUGCUAGUGAACUUACCCAGUCGGGAAGUCCACCUCUUUACAAGACUGUUACACUGGCAGAGUAUUUUCAGAGCUUUUACAAUCGGAAGCUUGAAGUUUCAUUCAUUGAUUGCCUGAAAAUCUGAAGCCUAAUAGAAGAGUGCUUGCAAAAAUUUUAGGAUAAUAGGAGUUAUGGUGAAUUAAAAUGUAGCAAUAAAUGAUGUCUGGUGAAGGUAUGGGACGCACGGGCACCCCGAGUUGGUGAAGCCUUGAAGAUGUAGAGCUCUGAUCAAGAGAUCUCAAGGAGCCCUGGAAUUGCAGAGGAUUCCCUGAUGUUUCUGUUGUUUCCAAUCCAUGAAAACAAAAGGUUUUUCCUUUCUAAAGAAUUAUUCAUAGGUUAUGACUGACCAGCCAUUCCCUUUACUUUCUCGUAAACAAUUAAUUUAAACCUUAAUUAUAUGAUCAAUUAAGUGAGAGGAGCCGGGGAAUGAUGGCGAGAAACAAAUGGAAUAUAGAAAAUUGAUUACCAUUCUGUAAAAGCACAAACAAUAACGUUUCAUAAGGCUUGCUAAUUCCUUUUGGAAUCUCUCCAACCAAACGAUUUGAAGAGAGAUCAAACAAAUGCAACUGGGAGGCAUUUCCUACGAUAGAUAUUUAGUAUAAAUGUAUUAUUCAGCCAUUAGUUAUUUGUAUUUAUCUUUGUAAUUAUCUUGUAAGCAAUUUUACAUUUAUA